rnacentral:rRNA from 1 species
UAGGGAAUCUUCGGCAAUGGACGGAAGUCUGACCGAGCAACGCCGCGUGAGUGAAGAAGGUUUUCGGAUCGUAAAGCUCUGUUGUAAGAGAAGAACGAGUGUGAGAGUGGAAAGUUCACACUGUGACGGUAUCUUACCAGAAAGGGACGGCUAACUACGUGCCAGCAGCCGCGGUAAUACGUAGGUCCCGAGCGUUAUCCGGAUUUAUUGGGCGUAAAGCGAGCGCAGGCGGUUAGAUAAGUCUGAAGUUAAAGGCUGUGGCUUAACCAUAGUACGCUUUGGAAACUGUUUAACUUGAGUGCAGAAGGGGAGAGUGGAAUUCCAUGUGUAGCGGUGAAAUGCGCAGAUAUAUGGAGGAACACCGGUGGCGAAAGCGGCUCUCUGGUCUGUAACUGACGCUGAGGCUCGAAAGCGUGGGGAGCAAACAGGAUUAGAUACCCUGGUAGUCCACGCCGUAAACGAUGAGUGCUAGGUGUUGGGUCCUUUCCGGGACUCAGUGCCGCAGCUAACGCAUUAAGCACUCCGCCUGGGGAGUACGACCGCAAGGUUG